CGAUAAUCCGCUGCACCGGACUGGAUUAGUUUGUUCGACUUGUCUGCGAAAACUUGGCCCUAUCCACUCUCGAGUAUCCGUAUUUAGUUUGCAGCGGGUUCAUCCGUCCGUCUCCGGGAACAAUGGUCGGUGUAUGAUGUGGAAGCGAUUGAUUUUGGUGGGCUGAAUAUCCUGCGGGCUGAAUAUCCUCCAGAUAAUCGCAUAAGAUUGUCCUUCCGUGUUUACGGUUGUAUUCUCCGCCAUCGUCUCUGCUCCGCGGCGCUGCUGUUCCACGCCAACCUCGUCGUUCCGGAGUACUGCCACCGGUCUCAAUCUACCGUUCCCCGCCAUUGCUACCGUGUCCACUGUUGUUCCGCCGUCCUUCUUCGGCGUGCUGUCCCCCGCGUCUCCCGCUUGCGUGUCUCCUCCGCUCACCGCCUUCAUUUCCCCACAUCGGCGUGACCG